AUUGAACGCUGGCGGCAGGCCUAACACAUGCAAGUCGAACGGUAACAGGAAGAAGCUUGCUUCUUUGCUGACGAGUGGCGGACGGGUGAGUAAUGUCUGGGAAACUGCUUGAUGGAGGGGGAUAACUACUGGAAACGGUAGCUAAUACCGCAUAACGUCGCAAGACCAAAGAGGGGGACCUUCGGGCCUCUUGCCAUCGGAUGUGCCCAGAUGGGAUUAGCUAGUAGGUGGGGUAACGGCUCACCUAGGCGACGAUCCCUAGCUGGUCUGAGAGGAUGACCAGCCACACUGGAACUGAGACACGGUCCAGACUCCUACGGGAGGCAGCAGUGGGGAAUAUUGCACAAAGGGCGCAAGCCUGAUGCAGCCAUGCCGCGUGUAUGAAGAAGGCCUUCGGGUUGUAAAGUACUUUCAGCGGGGAGGAAGGGAGUAAAGUUAAUACCUUUGCUCAUUGACGUUACCCGCAGAAGAAGCACCGGCUAACUCCGUG
rnacentral:rRNA from 1 species